UACGUAGGGGGCAAGCGUUGUCCGGAUUUAUUGGGCGUAAAGAGCGUGUAGGCGGCCAGGUAGGUCUGCUGUGAAAACUCGAGGCUCAACCUCGAGACGUCGGCGGAAACCAUCUGGCUAGAGUCCGGAAGAGGAGAGUGGAAUUCCUGGUGUAGCGGUGAAAUGCGCAGAUAUCAGGAGGAACACCGGUAGCGAAGGCGGAUCUCUGGGCGAUAACUGACGCUGAGGAGCGAAAGCUGGGGAGCGAACAGG
rnacentral:rRNA from 1 species